rnacentral:rRNA from 1 species
GACGAACGCUGGCGGCGGGCUUAACACAUGCAAGUCGAACGGAAAGGCCGUGCUUUUGUGCGGUGCUGGAGGGGGGAACGGGGGAGGAACACGUGAGUAACCUGCCCUUCACUUUGGGAUAAGUUAAGGAAACUGGGGCUAAGCCAGGAUAGGAGAUCCCGCUCCAGGGUGGGCGUUGGAAAGUUUCGGCGGUUGGGGAUGGACUCGCCGAUUAUCGGUUUGUUGGUGGGGUGGUGGCUGACCAAGCCCGUGACGGGUAGCCGGCCUGGGAGGGUGACCGGCCACCUUGGGCCUGCGAUACGCCCCAGUCUCGAACGGUAGGCAGCGGUGGGGAAUAUUGCACAGUGGGCGGGCGCCUGAUGCAGCGACGCCGCGUUCGGGAUGACGGCCUUCGGGUAGUAAACCGCUUUCGCUUGUGACGACGCGUGAGUGACGGUAAUGGGUGAAGAAGCACCGGCUAACUACGUG